GGUGGAAUUUCACCUCGUGCGGCUGUAACUUGCAACUUCUCACGGAACCUCCUUAUUAAAUGGGAAAUUAGCACAUGUUAAAGACAGAUAAACAUCUAAUUGGCUCUUUCUCUCUGAUGCAAACAGAAAAAUUGAAAAAAUAUUUUGAAAGUGACAUCUUCAAAGAAAAAUGAGAACGACUGUUCAACAUGCUGUGUGCCAAGGAUAAAUGCAGGGAGAUUUCCAUAUCUGUGAAAUUCCCUUCCAGCUGUCCAACAGCCCUGGAAUAGGCGGUGGUGGUGCAGGCCGAUCGUCAUGUGAGACCCGGAGAAGACCGGGUGGAUCUCACCCCCAGCAAGGACUGAGCAGCCAGCAUGUCCCCCGUCCCGUGGUGUGGGAGAUACAAAGGGAACUAUGACUCCUGACAGCUUCCCACAGCGAGUGGCUCCUGAGCUGCCUCACUGAGGUGCACCAGGUGUCCUCCUGUCAGCCCUGGGGUGCUUGACAAUGAGGCAGCCUCGGAAGAGAGCAGCACGAGGCCCUGGAUUCUUUUUGUUUUGCAGCUUAGGUGGGCGAUAACAGCACUAAUGACUGACUUUCACUGAAGGCUUUCUGUGUACCAUUCUCUGUGCUAAGUUCUGUCUCAUUUCAUCCUCGCCAUAACCCGCCAAGACUGCCACUAUUAUCCCCAUUUCACAGAUGAGAACACAGGGCAUUAGUAAGGUUGGUCACUAUGUCCUAGGUUAGUGGUUGUCAAACUUUAAGCAUGCAGCAGAAUCACCUGGAGAGCUUGAUCACACAUAGUGUGUGGGACCUCAUCCCCAGAGUGUGAAUCAGAAGUGUGGGGAGGGGCCCAAGAAUUUGCACUUCUUUUUUUUUUUCUAAAGAUUGGCACCUGAGCUAACAACUGUUGCCAAUCUUCUUUUUUUUUUUUUUUCUGCUCUAUCUUCCCAAACCCCCCGUACAUAGUUGUAUAUCUUACUUGCAGGUCCUUCUAGUUGUGGGAUGUGGGAUGCUGCCUCAGCGUGGCCUGAUGACUGGUGCCAUGUCCGCGCCCAGGAUCCAAACCCUGGGCCGCCGCAGCAGAGUGCGCGAACUUAACCACUCGGCCACGGAGCCAGCCCCCUGCAUUUCUUUUCUUUUUUCUUUUGAGGAAGAUUAGCCCUGAGCUAACUAUUACCAAUACUCCUCUUUUUGCUGAGGAAGACUGGCCCUGAGCUAACAUCCAUGCCCAUCUUCCUCUACUUUAUA
rnacentral:lncRNA from 1 species